UACAGGGGGGGCAAGCGUUGUUCGGAAUUACUGGGCGUAAAGGGCCAGUAGGCGGCUAACUAAGUCCGACGUGAAAUCCCUCGGCUUAACUGAGGACGUGCGGAAGAAACUGCAAGGCUCGAGUCCGGGAGAGGGGGGUGGAAUUCCCAGUGUAGCGGUGAAAUGCGUAGAUAUUGGGAGGAACACCGGUGGCGAAGGCGGCCCCCUGGACCGGUACUGACGCUGAGGCGCGAAAGCGUGGGUAGCAAACGGG
rnacentral:rRNA from 1 species